rnacentral:rRNA from 1 species
UACGUAGGGCGCAAGCGUUAUCCGGAAUUAUUGGGCGUAAAGAGCUCGUAGGCGGUUUGUCGCGUCUGCCGUGAAAGUCCGGGGCUCAACUCCGGAUCUGCGGUGGGUACGGGCAGACUAGAGUGAUGUAGGGAGACUGGAAUUCCUGGUGUAGCGGUGAAAUGCGCAGAUAUCAGGAGGAACACCGAUGGCGAAGGCAGGUCUCUGGGCAUUAACUGACGCUGAGGAGCGAAAGCAUGGGGAGCGAACAGG